GACGAACGCUGGCGGCGUGCCUAAUACAUGCAAGUUGAGCGCUGAAGGUUGGUACUUGUCCCAACUGGAUGAGCAGCGAACGGGUGAGUAACGCGUGGGGAAUCUGCCUUUGAGCGGGGGACAACAUUUGGAAACGAAUGCUAAUACCGCAAAAAAACCUUAAACACAAAGUUUAAGUUUGAAAGAUGCAAAUGCAUUACUCAAAGAAGAUCCCGCUUUGUAUCAGGUAGUUGGUGAGGUAAAGGCUCACCAAGGCGAUGAUACAUAGCCGACCUGAGAGGGUGAUCGGCCACAUUGGGACUGAGACACGGCCCAAACUCCUACGGGAGGCAGCAGUAGGGAAUCUUCGGCAAUGGACGAAAGUCUGACCGAGCAACGCCGCGUGAGUGAAGAAGGUUUUCGGAUCGUAAAACUCUGUUGGUAGAGAAGAACGUUGGUGAGAGUGGAAAGCUCAUCAAGUGACGGUAACUACCCAGAAAGGGACGGCUAACUACGUG
rnacentral:rRNA from 1 species